rnacentral:rRNA from 1 species
CUACGGGUGGCAGCAGUGGGGAAUAUUGGACAAUGGGCGAAAGCCUGAUCCAGCCAUGCCGCGUGUGUGAAGAAGGCCUUCGGGUUGUAAAGCACUUUCAGUGGGGAAGAAAGCCUUGGGGCUAAUACCCUCGAGGAAGGACAUCACCCACAGAAGAAGCACCGGCUAACUCCGUGCCAGCAGCCGCGGUAAUACGGAGGGUGCGAGCGUUAAUCGGAAUUACUGGGCGUAAAGCGCGCGUAGGCGGUCUGAUAAGCCGGUUGUGAAAGCCCCGGGCUCAACCUGGGAACGGCAUCCGGAACUGUCAGGCUAGAGUGCAGGAGAGGAAGGUAGAAUUCCCGGUGUAGCGGUGAAAUGCGUAGAGAUCGGGAGGAAUACCAGUGGCGAAGGCGGCCUUCUGGACUGACACUGACGCUGAGGUGCGAAAGCGUGGGUAGCAAACAGGAUUAGAUACCCCUGUAGUC